UCCAGACUCCUACGGGAGGCAGCAGUGAGGAAUAUUGGUCAAUGGGCGGAAGCCUGAACCAGCCAAGUCGCGUGAGGGAAUAAGGCCCUACGGGUCGUAAACCUCUUUUGCCGGGGAGCAAGGGCCGGGACGCGUCCCGGCCCGGAGAGUACCCGGAGAAAAAGCAUCGGCUAACUCCGUGCCAGCAGCCGCGGUAAUACGUAGGGGGCAAGCGUUAUCCGGAUUUACUGGGUGUAAAGGGAGCGUAGACGGUUAUGCAAGUCUGAAGUGAAAGCCCAAGGCUCAACCAUGGGACUGCUUUGGAAACUGUAAAACUGGAGUGCAGGAGAGGUAAGCGGAAUUCCUAGUGUAGCGGUGAAAUGCGUAGAUAUUAGGAGGAACACCAGUGGCGAAGGCGGCUUGCUGGACAGUAACUGACGUUGAGGCUCGAAAGCGUGGGGAGCAAACAGGAUUAGAUACCCGAGUAC
rnacentral:rRNA from 1 species